AUUGAACGCUAGCGGGAUGCCUUACACAUGCAAGUCGAACGGCAGCACGGACUUCGGUCUGGUGGCGAGUGGCGAACGGGUGAGUAAUGUAUCGGAACGUGCCCAGUAGCGGGGGAUAACUACGCGAAAGCGUAGCUAAUACCGCAUACGCCCUACGGGGGAAAGCAGGGGAUCGCAAGACCUUGCACUAUUGGAGCGGCCGAUAUCGGAUUAGCUAGUUGGUGGGGUAACGGCUCACCAAGGCGACGAUCCGUAGCUGGUUUGAGAGGACGACCAGCCACACUGGGACUGAGACACGGCCCAGACUCCUACGGGAGGCAGCAGUGGGGAAUUUUGGACAAUGGGGGAAACCCUGAUCCAGCCAUCCCGCGUGUGCGAUGAAGGCCUUCGGGUUGUAAAGCACUUUUGGCAGGAAAGAAACGUCGCGGGCUAAUACCCCGCGGAACUGACGGUACCUGCAGAAUAAGCACCGGCUAACUACGUGC
rnacentral:rRNA from 1 species